AAGACAAUAGAACUUCAGUUCAGGAAAAAAGCACUUCAGUUCAGCUAUUUUAAUAUUUAAAAUUUAAUCUAUAAUACAUUCAAAUAACAUACAAUUAAGUUUCCGGAAACAUUAUGUUUAAUUAGCACUGAAGUAUAUUCUUUCAAAAUAUAUUAUAUUUGUAUACACCUCUGCAAACAGGCCUGCUCAUUUUGAUUGGACAUAAAUCUUUAUAGUGCAGGACAUCAAUAUUUUUGUAUAUUUUCACAGAAGAGAAAGACUUUAAAUUUGUGUAUCUAGUAAAUAUGAAUUUUGCUGCGUUCAUUGAGUUCAUUAGCAUAUACAUAGAUGCCGUGGAAGAUAACAGACAUGGACUAAAACCCAAUGUAUACUUUUCUUGUCUGUGUUAUGCUCCGGCUCAUGGACAGUCCAUAUGACAUACUGUAAUUUUCAUCAGCAGCACAGUGUGCUGAGUUUCAUGCACACCAUCUGCAUGUAGCCCAACUUUGUGUCCAUGUAGCACUCAAAAAACAAAGGUCCACUAAGUAGUGCAUGUGUCGUAUGCGUACAUCCGUGCUGUACUAUGAAAGGAUUACAUGCUCAACUGUGUGAUAGACAGGGCAGAAAAUGAAGUAUAUCCGGGUCUUAAGAGCCAUAAAUCUCAAAUUUUGAUGCUUUUAAAUACUCUAUCCUUAUGUACUUAAUACACCACCAUUUGUGUUUUGUAAUAAGUUUUAUCACACCCUCUGAUAGUGAAAGAAAUUCCACAUGUAGUGAUGGGUGUGAGAGAGAGUGAGUGGGGAAAAGGAGGAUGGAAGAGGUCCAAUUGGAGGGAAAAACAUGUCGGCCCUCACUAGGCUUACACAAUGCUCCGCCUACGCCAGAUUAGACUGUUCCAGCAUCUCCCGAGAGAGGGUGGAUGGAAUGCCAGUGCAGAGGAAGCAACAGUUUUAGCUGUUUAUCUAGCUGAAUCCCUGUUCCUUUCCCCUUACCCUCAACAUUUCUGAGUUUUAUUUGCUUUCAUUUCUUUAGAAAAUAACCCAUAGUCUCAUAAAGCACUUACAUGUGCUCGCUUUGCCAGCCAAGCUGCCCCAAUAAAUGCUUUUUAAUAGGGUAUUCAGUAUUUGAUAUACACGUAAGUCUCUACAAAUUGUUGGCUGGACUGUCAACAAAAAGUUUGUAGUGAUUGUAGAAUUGUGCCUAAAUUCAAAGCUUCCAAGUCAUGGAUUUUUUUUAUGUAAUUUACAGGCCUGGACAAGUCAUUUAAGUUAAAAUCUCAAAUAAAAAUUGUGGAAAUUUAUAUAUUCUAUAUAUAUUAUAUAUUGCAAAUUUUAACUAUGGUUGCUCCAGAAAUUGUUUAAGGAAAAAAAAAAAAAGAUAUUGUGUCCAUGAAUUAGUUAUUAUUAGAAAUAGUAAAAUAAUGGAAAUUCUUUGUUGUGAGAAGAUUAUAAAGAUAUCAUUUUCACAAAUCUUGUGGGAACAAUUUCCAUGACCUUUAUGAAACUUUAUCAAUUAUGGUGCUUGGUGUAGCGGUUUCAUAAAUGAAAAACUCUUAAAAUGUUCUUAAACUGAAACCACAAACAUCAGAUAUCCUAAAAACAUCCCAGUUUGCAGGGAAACAAUCAUUUUUAUCUUAAACUCAGUUCACUGACUAUUUAGAAAUGGCUCUCAAAUUACAAACACAAUUCAGACUAAUUGAUUCUUAUAUUAUAUCUUAUCUUAUAUUAUAUCAUCCUUUGAAAUAUUGUUACCCUCUGAGUAAGUGCCAGCUAAAGUGAAGAACUCUGAACCUUUCAGAAGGCUUUUGCUUAAGUUCACAGGGCCUGGGACACAAGCCCUUAGUGCUAGGGCCUGGGACAACCUUCAUCUGAUGAAGGCCUUGCCCUUACAUUUCAUGAACCCUGCUCAACUAGAUUGUAAGAGGCAUUCGGGGAAACCACAGAGGUGAUCAGGUGAAACCAGUUUGUUAUUAUGGUCAUCAUUGUUUUGUAAUAGUUGAGUACAAAAUCAUCUCAGCAAUGUGUUGUUUAAAGGAAAGUACAUUUUAUUACUGCUGACCAUGAUUUUAUGGCAGUGAAGUAUAAAGUGAAAUGUUAUACUCUUUAACAUGCAGUUCAACAAUCUGACCGCACACACACAAUUUGUAAAAUGCAGUUUAAUGGGCUGUAAGGGUAUUAUUUUCUGGGUGGUCUGGGGAAACACUGUCUUUUUGCCCUUAACCUAUUGAUCUGCUGGCCACAGAGUGCAGCAAGUUUUGUCAUUACGUCAAGUCUUCACUUAUAAGAUUAUCUCAGUGGUGUAUACCAUACAGAGAGGAAGGCAUAUACAGAUUUGGUAUGGUUUAAUGGAAGUAGUCCUGUAGUUUCUUAAUACUUAUUAAGAGCAACAGUGUUUCUAUAGCUCAAAUAGUUAAGUAUUGCAAGAGCAAUGCCAAGGUCAUAGGUUCAAUUCCCAGAAAAUGUGUGAAGUGGUUAUAACCAAGGCAUUGAUUUAUACUCAUACGCAACUAUCGAGGAGCCACUCCCAAGAUGGAUAAAUAAAGCCUGCUCCACAUGGCACUACCAGGCGAUUGAACUUUUUCACUGAAUCUGUGUGCCCUCAAGACUGUAUGUUUCCUUUUGCUUUAGUAAAUCCUGUCUAUUUCACACUGUCUGAGGUAUUGAUUGCCUCAUACUGCGAUGAGCGGGAACAGUCAGGGAGUCCCAGAUACCAGGCUUUCUCUGCAGGAAUGUGGGCUGGAGCCUGGGCAAUACCCAUAACGGAUCAUUUGGUCUCGGUAACUGGGACUCAGCCAGUCUUCUUAGCCCAUAAUGCAUAAAGGAGCCAUCUGCCCUGUCAAUCAAAGAGGAAUGGAGGAUGACUCAGAGAAGAUGCCUGUGUUAAUAGUAUUAUAAACAGGUCAUCAUGCAUUAUUAUUAAUUUGUUAUAUAAAAACGUGGCACCAGUCCUGACUGUCCAGAUACACUUGGUUGUCAAGGCACAAUAAGAUGUGAUCAGACCUACACAAAAGGGCAGGUGCAAUCAAUCAAUCAAGAAAAUCAAAAUAUAACAUAAAUAUAUAUUUUAGUUUAAUAAGCUGUAAUGUUGCACUACCAAAUCUACCAAUUUCUGCCAUAAAAACCUUCAACAGAAAGUUAUGAAUGAGACCUGAGCCUUGAAAGUCCAAAUGUCAGGUAAUUCUUAUUUCGUCUCAAAUGCUGUAAUACAGGUAGCAGUGUAGUUUAUUGUUUCUCACCAUGUAACCAAAUCACCAGAAUUGGUAGGAGUUUGUGUUGUUCUGGGUGGUUUGUUUAUGCAGCUGUCUUUGUGAAUCUCAACACAUUCAGUAAAAAGUUUGGACUGGUCAGGACCAUCUUCACUCUAGGUCAUAAAUCAUAGAAAAAGAUAGUGGGAGUGAGCAGCUUGUUAACAUUUGUUAACAUUUAAUGCAUUUCUCUUCCCCUCCUAAGACCCUUGAAAGUCUCAAUGCAGCUGUUUGACCAGACCCUAACUGAAAAUCUGGAUUUGUUUAUUAAACUUAUUUAUAUAACUUAUCAAAAUCUGGUGGGAAAAAUGCUAAAGCUUUCAAUUAAACUCUUUACUCAAAUUUCCAUGAUGUGAAUAUAAUUUAUAUUGAAAAGUGUAUUAAAUUACAAAAAAAAAAAAAAACUGAAACAUUUUCCAACCCAGGCUCAGUGAAAGAACAUGAGCACAGUGGUAAAAAGUUUCAUAAGAUGUUGGUGCUUUACUGCCACUAGUGUUCAUUUCAGCUGGAAACUGCAGUGAAUUUCACAUGAAACUGCAUGUUUAUCUGCCUUUGGUGGUUCUUUCUGCCUGCAGCUUGUUCAGCUGAUUUUUAACAUUGAUGACAACAUGACAUUCUUUCUAAUAAAGUCCACAGAUGCCUCCUUGUGUGAUGCUCUCCGCAAACACUCCUGACUAGAGCUGGCAUGAAUUUUGGGCAAACGUGGUUCACGUGGUACUGUGAGAGGCCUAAAUAGCAAGCUGGCAUCUAAAUCAUGGUUCUCCAACAACAAUCUGUGCUUAUGUACAGUAUACCUAUGAGAAAGUGCAUGUUUUAUGUUGCGGCAAACCAACAGUACAGAGAUUAAGAUGCAUCCAAUUAACCUAAAUAUCCGCCAAUCAUAGUUUAUCUGACAGUAGGUAACUGUAAACCUUUUUAACCAAAGAAAACAGCGUUUUUAUUCAUUUGCGUAGAUGUUUUUAUAUUAAAAAUGACUGUUCACAUAUACAAUGGUGUCUAAAUCUCUGUGGCCCAUAGUGAAUUUGGAAAAUACAGUUUAUGACUACAAUUAUUCCAAAUUCAUGUGAUUCCAAGAAACACAGAGACACAGAAGUUUCUGAACAAUCUCUAACCUCGCCUCGUUUUAUCCGGAGAGCAUUUAUAAGUAGGCCCCACAGGCUUCUGUGCAAUUUUUUGGCAAACAGAUAACUAUUGUCAGUGAUGGCUACUCUGUCCAGUGCUCUGAAUGCAGUGUUUCAAAUGCUGUUUGAUCCCUUUAUUGUUCGAUGGAAUAGUAGGGGCGAGAUCAUGCACGUUUUUGCAUGGAGGUCCAUACUGCAUGCCCAUAAACCCAGGACCUGUGGGUGUCUUUUUUCUGGGUUUUAAGCAAUCCUUUUGUACAUUGUCAUGUGUCUGUGUGGGGGAUUUCAGAUGAAAUUUUAAUUGUUGUGACAAUUAUCUGCCUAUAUCUGCACAAAAAUCUCUGCUGACAAAGCACAGUGCCCGGUACUCCAGCAUGAUUCAAGGAAGUGAGAGCAAUAAAUAAACAUGGAUGGUACAAAACAAUAAACACGAGGACAGAUAAACAGAAGUAAUUUCUUCUCUCACUGGGUCUAUACUUUCCCUGUUGGAUCCGGUCUUGAUUGCUAUAAUUGCUCACUCCACCCCUUGUUCUGCUGCAUGGAGAGUUUGUUUACAGUGUUGAUGGAUUAACACAUAUAACUUUCAUAUUUAUUAAGUUUGUAUUAACAUUCCACUAUAAUGCCAUCAUUUUCUCAUGAACACUAGAUAUGAACUAGAUUUUUACAAAAUGUGCGUUGUGUUUGAUCAUUCUUCUUACUUGCCAAAGUCAAAAGAGUCCAUCCCAAGUCCAACCCAGGCUUACUGGAAAAGCAUGUGGCUACAUUUCUCCAAAAUUAUAUUACGUUGCUGAGUCAGUGCUGUUAAAAAGGCAUACAGUUUUAACUGAAACAGAUGGAUGUGAGUCGGGCAGUGUUUUAUUACAGUUUGGAAAUUAAAUGCCUGGUGAGUAUUGCUAGAAAGUUUGUAACCCAAUCGCUCUGCAUCGCAAGUGCAAUGGAGCUUGUUAUGUGAUGCAAACAUUAAACAUUAUGGUGCCAUACAAUGCUAUUCUGCAUGAAAAAGCAUGAAAAUAGAUCUUUAUUAAUCAAGAAUCUGCCCUUGUAAUCAUAAUUUUUGUGUUUUACAUAGAUUUGUGUUUUACUGUCACUAGUGUUCAUUUCAGAUGGGAACUCCAGAAUAUGCUUCCUUAAUGUAAGGCUAUAUUUGUUUUUUAGCACCCAUAAAGUGAAAAUAUAAGUUUAAUUGCUUAGAAAAUUAAUAUCGCCACUCUCCUCAACAAGCCUCACAAUAUCAUUUACAGUUUGUCCAUAGCACAUACAUGUACUGUCUGUAUUCAUGUUGGUUUCAUAUGGUUUUACCAUAUAAUAUUUCACAAGAAAGUUUAGAUCGAAAAGCUGAAAAAUUUCAUGUGGUUAUUUUCCUUACACCUUGAACAUAUCUCAAUAAUUAUUAUUAAAUGUUUUAAUGUAAACUUUUUAAAAGUAUAAGGAAAUGUAAAUUCAUAAAUAUUAUGAUGAUUUCUGUGGAGCUGCACCUCAUGACAUUUCACUACUAACUUCGGCUUGUCAUAAAAAUUUUAAAUGAUCUAAUAUUUUAAUAGACUUAUGGCCUUAAUACACAGUCAUGAUGGAAUGCGGAGUUUAUCACUUAUUUUGUUUGUUUAUUUGUUUAUUUAUUUAAGCAAAUUUCCUAUCUACUUUACAAUUUUUUUCUUUUCAAAAAUGUAAUUCUUAUAAUGUGUCACGUUUAUGUUCUGUUCCAUUCUGGUAUAGUUUUCUCUGUAUUUCUGUUCCCCUUCAUUAGUUCCCUAUUUUGUUUCCUUAGUUUUAAUUGGAACCACACCUCUUCUGUUUUCAUCUUGAUUACAGUACAUUCCCAGUGUAUUUAAGCCCUGUGUUUUCCUCAGUUCAUUGUCCGCUAUUGAUUAGUGCUCAUGUGUUUGUUCUGUUAUCCCAGUGGAUUUAUUAAAAUUACUUUCUAGGACUCUACUCCUUUGCAUGCUUUAUUACUGGACAGGCCAUGACAUAUGAAGUGUUUUUUUUUUUUUUUUAUGCACACAUAGAAGUCCAAAUGAAUAAAAACAUGCUUAUUAUAGACAAAGUGUAUUCAUGACACAGCGUGAACUGAUUUUUUUUUUUUUUAAUGUAUUUUGAAUAUCUUGGAUAUUUAUUUUGACUAAUAUAAUAAUGAAUGUCAUGUAACUGACGCACUUUGUUUAAAUCACUAAACCUAGUGCGCAUAAACCAAAUCAGCCAAACUCUGGAAUCUCAGUGUGCUAUGAGGAGGCUGAAACUCCCAAGCUGGAUUUGGUGCAGCAUAAAUAAGAGUUGACCCUUCUAGUGGAGGAGUGAACUAUUACUUUUAUGCAUCUGAUAAAAAUCCUCUGCUCAGACUGAAACAACAUUGUGUGACCUCCCAUGUAGUUUUAUUUUAAUUUUAUUUAUGCAUUGCUGUUUUCUUUUAAAUUUGCUUUUAAUCUGCUGGAAAUAAACCUCUGGUGACCUUUGACACCCACUCUGUUUUGCACUGUUGAGGAUAUGGUAGAAGCAACCUUCUAAACUCAGAAGGUGGAAUUUUGAACCAGUUGGAAACAUAUCAGACUGAAACGAGACACAGAUGUUAUUUUAAUUAUUAAACCUGAAGCCUGUCUGACAUCCAGCCCUAAAUAUAGAGAAGAGCAACUGACCUGAUGUUCCAUCCCAGUCCUUCCUGAUCUGCUCAGGACAUCAAGCGUAGAGAUUUCCAGUCUCUAAAACAAUAAAAAGAGAAAGAAUAAGGUGACUCCUUAAUUAUCCAGAUCAACAUGUUUCUCUCCCGAAAGCAGGGAAACCCCUCCAUGGCUGAAACAUUAGUGUGGGAGUUCCUUCCUUUCUGUGGGCCUGGCUAUCCUCCUACACACAUCGCUGGCCACACAACACAAUGAGACUGAGGAGGCUUUGAGAGCGAGUUGUGAAUCACUGAACGGUUCCACGAAGACACAAAGAAUAUCUGAUAUCCAACCCAGGCUUUUUGAAAAAAAAAAAAAAAAAAAAAAAACACACCUCUACCUACAUUUUUGCAAAACCCCAAAAACA